UGAACAUGUGCCACCACAUUCAGACUCUGUGCUGGACUGUGCCAGGAAAUGUUAUAGGAGUUGGAAACAUGGGAUGAAACGUUUGAAGAUAUCUUACAAGACAGGUAGAGACAAUUGAGAAAAGAGAAAAGAAACUGAAGUUCAGAUUCUGGUCUUGUCACCUACGACCCAGGACUGGUAUUUCUUUGAUAACAACCAGAAAUUAUUGAUGUAUGGUGAUGAUAUUUGAGACAGCAGGAAUUCAUUAGACAAAAAGUUUUUGGUUGCUGUCUGUGUGCAAAACUAUAUGAUAUAGUAGAUAUG
rnacentral:lncRNA from 1 species